UUCUUGAUCGUAUAACGGUUAGUAUGCAGCCUUGUCAUUAGACCAGCAAUGGUCGAGUGCGAUCGGCUGAGAUCGGAGUUCGAUUCUCCGUCAGGAAG